rnacentral:rRNA from 1 species
CCUACGGGAGGCAGCAGUGGGGAAUAUUGGGCAAUGGAGGCAACUCUGACCCAGCAAAGUCGCGUGAAUGAUGAAGGUCUUCGGAUUUUAAAAUUCUGUGAUGGGGGAUGAACACAAUGACGGUACCCCAAUCGCAAGCCAAGGCUAACUACAUGCCAGCAGCCACGUUAAUACGUGGGUGGCAUGCGUUCUCCGGAAUGCCGGGGCGGAAAGGGUGCGUAGGUGGUUUAGUAAGUUGGCGGUGUAAUUCCGGGGGUCAAACUCGGCGCUACCGCCAAAACUAGUAGACUAGAGUGCAGGAGAGGUAAGUGGAAUUCCUAGUGUAGCGGUGGAAUGCAUAGAUAUUAGGCAGAACAUCAGGGGCGAAGGCGACUUACUGGACUGUAACUGACACUGAGGCACGAGAGCGUGGGUAGCAAACAGGAUUAGAUACCCUUGUAGUC